rnacentral:rRNA from 1 species
UACGGGGGGUGCGAGCGUUAAUCGGAAUUACUGGGCGUAAAGGGUGCGUAGGUUGUUGACUAAGUUAUCUGUGAAAUUUCUGGGCUUAACCUGGGGCUGUCAGAUAAGACUGGUUGACUCGAGUACGGGAGAGGGUAGUGGAAUUUCCGGUGUAGCGGUGAAAUGCGUAGAGAUCGGAAGGAACACCAGUGGCGAAGGCGGCUACCUGGCCUGAUACUGACACUGAGGCACGAAAGCGUGGGGAGCAAACAGGAUUAGAUACCCUGGUAGUCCACGCUGUAAACGAUGUCAACUAGCUGUUGGUCGUAUGAAUACGAUAAGUAGCGGAGCAAACGCGAUAAGUUGACCGCCUGGGGAGUACGGUCGCAAGAUUA